GGGGCGGUGAUGAUCCCAACAUGCCAUCUGAGUGCUUGUGCUGAGAUCCAGAGGCUGUUUCUGAGCUU